AUUGAACGCUGGCGGCAGGCCUAACACAUGCAAGUCGAGCGAGCGGCGGACGGGGGAGUAAUGUCUGGGAAACUGCCUGAUGGAGGGGGAUAACUACUGGAAACGGUAGCUAAUACCGCAUACCAUCAGAUGUGCCCAGAUGGGAUUAGCUAGUAGGUGGGGUAACGGCUAACCUAGGCGACGAUCCCAAGCUGGUCUGAGAGGAUGACCAGCCAGACUGGAAUUGAGACGUGGUCCAGAAUCCUACGGGAGGCAGCAGUGGGGAAGAUUGCACAAUGGGCGCAAGCCUGAUGCAGCCAUGCCGCGUGUGUGAAGAAGGCCUUCGGGUUGUAAAGCACUUUCAGCGGUGAGGCGUUACCCGCAGAAGAAGCACCGGCUAACUCCGUGCCAGCAGCCGCGGUAAUAC
rnacentral:rRNA from 1 species